UAUUCUCUAUUUAUUUAAGUCUUGAGCUUGAAUCAUUUAAUAAAUUUCAAGCAAUCCUGGAGCUAUCAACCAUGGAGAAAUCUGCCCCUCUCCAUGCAUGCCAUGUAAACAAAAUCACCAUCAUCAUCAACAGAGCCCAUGCGUUCCUCCAUUCCAUAGCCAUACUGUUCGUGAUUCAUUACAAGCUUUCCUUGCAACAAUACACCUGACUAACACCAAAAUGAAAGCAUAAAGCACCUUUCAGCACAAGGCACAUAUCAAACCCAACAAGGAAAACUAAUUUACCUUAUCUCUUUCUUACCUGUAGCCAUGUAACAGCCCGUUUUCAGUGAAAUCAGAACAGUGAUUUCGGGGCUACAAAUCCGAGGUCAGAAGAAAAUUAUUUUAAUAUUAUUUUAUGGCCUAUAGUAUGAUAGAAAUAUCAUAUGAAAAUUUCGUUAAGAAAUUUUAUCGUUUACAUGUCUAAUUUGAUGAAAAUAACUAAAUUGCACAAAGUGUAAAAGUUGAAUUCUAGUAGCUUAAGGUAUUAAAUAGCUAUGGAAUUUAAAAUUAGAGGUCCUUAUAUGGAAAAUAGACCAUUUUGAGGAGUUAGUAGAUAAGGAUGAUUAUUCAUCAUUGGAAAUUAAGAAAUUAUUAAGGUUAAUUUUGGAAAGACGAUACAAUAAUGAUGAUAAAUAAAAUAAAUAAUUAAAAUAUAAUCAUUUUCAUCAUCUUUCCUAAAACAAAAUACAUGGAAACCCUAGCCAUGGAUGUUGAGUUCAAGUAAGCUAUUUUUGCUUAAUUAGGUAUGUAUUCUUGUUUCGUUUUUAAUGAUUUUUAUUUUUCCGAGAUAGUAAUAGCUUAAUUUAGCUAUAUUGGGGAUUCAUUUGCAAAACUAUUAAAGUGUUAGGGUUUUACCAUGGAUGAGUAUAGUUGAAUUAUGAAAUUUUAUGGUAAAAAAUGAAAGGUUAUUAAUAGAUAAACAACUUUUGUAAAGAGAAUUUUUAUGAAAUUAUGAUUUAGGGACUAAAUUGAAAAGAUGGAAAAUUCAUGGAAAAAUUUUGAAUUUUAUGAAAUUCAUGGGCUUUUAUUGAUAUAUAUGAAAAUUGGCUAGGCUUGAAAUAAGGAUUAAAUUGUAUGAAUUUCAUUUUCUGAGUCUAGGGAUAAAAUCGUAAUUAAUAAAAAAUAUAGGGGCAAAAUAGUAAUUUUUCCAAAGAUGUGUAUUGGACUGAAUUGAAUAUGAAUUGUAUUAAAUUGAACUAAAUUCAUUCGUAUAGAUCCGGAUAGACCUAGUACGGAAUUGGAUCAAGAAAAAUAAAAAGUAUCGGAUUAGUAGCUUACAAAUCUACGUAUAUUUGUCGAGGUAAGUUCGUGUAACUAAAUUGUAUAUUUGUAUGAUUUGAAUUGAAUAUUUUUGUGUGUGUGAUUUGUAUAUUAUUGAUCACAUAUCCGACAAGUACUAAGUCUCGUUUGAACAUUGAAAAUUUGAUGGAUACAAAUUACAUGUCAUUAAGGAUUCCCGAAUUAGUUGUGGUCCUGCAUGUGUUGCAGACACACCACAGCUCCCAAGAGCGUCCUGUUAUUUAGCUAUUAUGAGCAUCUCAUUAUAUGGUUAUCAUGAUUUUCCCGAUAUUUGGCUAUAUUGAGCUUCCCGAUUAAUGGCUCUCUUGAGCUUCCCGUUUAUGGCUAGUAUGAGCUUUCCGACAAUUGGCUCGCAAGAGCUUCCCGUUAUAUAGCUCUCAUGAGCUUCCUGCUACAUGACUCGAAAGAGCUUCCUGAUUACAUGCUCGUAUGGGCAUAAUUGUAUAUGAAUUGACGGAUUACAAAUUUGUACACUUCGUAUGUACUAUCAGUAUAUCCAACGAUAUUUUAAAUGGUUCAACGGGCAAAGUUUUGAUAUGAGACAAUAUGAAUUCGAGACGAAUUAUUAUGGUUAUGUACUUGAAAUACAUGGAUAUGAUUUGUACAUGUUAUAUGGACACAUGAUGUGGAAAGUAUAUGUAUAUGAAAAUUUGAUUAUUGUUGAGCUCAUACAUGUUUCUUGAUAUUCAUAUGAAAUACAUGACUAACAUGGUUGAUGAGGAUAAGUGUUUAGGCUAUUGACCAAAUUGCUUUGGAUAUAUCUUGUUUGCUUACUUUAAAUAUGAAUAAAUGGUAAGUUAAAUUCCAUGUUAUACGAACUUACUAAGCUUAAAUGCUUACUCUGUUUUAUUUCCCCUGUUUUAUAGUAACUCGAAAGCUGGUCGGAGCUACAUCACACUAUCCAUCGGCCCGUUUCGGUAUAUAUAGUAAAUUGAUUUUGGUUAUAAUGGCAUGUAUAAGUUCAUUUGGCCAAUGAUGACAUACAAUUGUUUUGUUGUGAUUAGUCAUUUGAAUGGCUUGAAUUUGAUGUAUAUAUAUGGCAUUAUCAUGUUUAAUGUGUGCUUGGUAUGGUUGAAUGAUGGAUAAUUCAUAAGCAUAUUGAUGGUUGGAUUAGAUUGGUAUAUUAGGUAUAAAUAUGUUUAUAUGUGUAUUUGGUUAAUUUGGUAAGUAUGGAUUCUUGGAUAUAUGUGAUGAUAUGUUAUGUUUAAGACUUGAGUUUGGCUUGUUUUAAGUAGUUUUAUAUGGCUUGAUGAUGUGCAAAAAGUGUUGAUGUAGGUUGAAGACAAAUUGGGUGAGAAAUGUGGCUAGAAAAAUGGCCUAUUUUGUCCACAAGAGCAGAGACACGGGCGUGUGUCUCAGUCGUGUGUGACACACGGCCAAGUGACACGGUUGUGUGUCCCCUGUAUCUUUUAAUUAGUGCAAAACAAAAUGCUCACACGGCCUAGCACAUAGGCGUGUGGCUUGGCUGUGUGACUUAAGUCAGAGAGCUCAUAAUUUUGGACACGGGCUGGGACACGACCGUUUGUCCUUAUUUCGAAUGUCCACACGGCCUGGCCACACAAGCGUGUGUCCCUUGUAGCUUUGAAAAUUUUUAAUGUUUUCGGAAAAAUUCUCUGAGUACCCAGUUUAGUCCCGACUUAUUUCUAACAUGUAUUUUGGGCCUCGAGGGCUCACAUAAGGGACAAUGUGAUGGAUUUGGAUUAGUUUCUGAUAUGAGUGCUAGAUGAUAUGAAAUGUCUGUUAUUUGAUCUGUAAAUUUUGGUAAUGCUCCGCAAUCCUAUUUCAACGACGGAUUCGGGUUAGGGGUGUUACAAGCCACCUCCUCCAUGAGACAAUUGUUGUUUAUAGCUUUUUCACCUCCGAGGGUUCCACUUGUAUCUGAAGAAUCCUUUGAUACCUCCGGAGCCUUUUUAGUAUUUGAUUUACGCCAAUAAGAACUUAUACCAUUGAAGUGUGCAAAGUUGACCUAUAUUUUAUAUCCAAAUAAACGGAAACCGUUCAGACGAAGCGUCACCCUUCUUGUAUCAGUAUAGUUUGCGAGUCUCACAAAACCAAAUCUUUCUCCAUUUUUCACUUCUCUUUUUUGGAAUGAAGACAUCUACAACCAUGCUGUGAUACUUUCAUCCUCCAAAGACCUCUCCAUUGCAUGCAUGGAGGAAGGUUCAAUACAAAAACAGUAACACAAAUCUGUCCACUACACCUGAUCAUGGCUUGUGCUACCUCAAGCCUGAAAUUUUUUUUUUCAACAAAAUUAUAGGCCCAAAAAUAUACUUAGGAUAAACAUGCUCGUUUUUAGCC
rnacentral:lncRNA from 1 species